GACGAACGCUGGCGGCGUGCCUAAUACAUGCAAGUCGAGCGGAAUGAUGAAGAAGCUUGCUUCUUCUGAUUUUAGCGGCGGACGGGUGAGUAACACGUGGGCAACCUACCUUGUAGAUUGGGAUAACUCCGGGAAACCGGGGCUAAUACCGAAUAAUCCAUUUUGCUUCAUGGCGAGAUGUUGAAAGACGGUUUCGGCUGUCACUACAAGAUGGGCCCGCGGCGCGUUAGCUAGUUGGUAGGGUAAUGGCCUACCAAGGCGACGAUGCGUAGCCGACCUGAGAGGGUGAUCGGCCACACUGGGACUGAGACACGGCCCAGACUCCUACGGGAGGCAGCAGUAGGGAAUCUUCCACAAUGGACGAAAGUCUGAUGGAGCAACGCCGCGUGAGUGAAGAAGGUUUUCGGAUCGUAAAACUCUGUUGUAAGGGAAGAACACGUACGAGAGUAACUGCUCGUACCUUGACGGUACCUUAUUAGAAAGCCACGGCUAACUACGUG
rnacentral:rRNA from 1 species